rnacentral:rRNA from 1 species
GACGAACGCUGGCGGCGUGCUUAACACAUGCAAGUCGAACGGAAAGGCCCUGCUUUUGUGGGGUGCUCGAGUGGCGAACGGGUGAGUAACACGUGAGUAACCUGCCCUUGACUUUGGGAUAACUUCAGGAAACUGGGGCUAAUACCGGAUAGGAGCUCCUGCUGCAUGGUGGGGGUUGGAAAGUUUCGGCGGUUGGGGAUGGACUCGCGGCUUAUCAGCUUGUUGGUGGGGUAGUGGCUUACCAAGGCUUUGACGGGUAGCCGGCCUGAGAGGGUGACCGGCCCACUUGGGAAUGGGAAACGGCCCAGCCCCCUCCGGGAGGCAGCAGGGGGAAUAUUGCACAAUGGGCGGAAGCCUGAUGCAGCAACGCCGCGUGCGGGAUGACGGCCUUCGGGUUGUAAACCGCUUUCGCCUGUGACGAAGCGUGAGUGACGGUAAUGGGUAAAGAAGCACCGGCUAACUACGUG